GCCCAGGGAAUUGUAUGUGUCCUGUUUCUAAAAGGUCAGCUACCACAGCUGAUAGUAUUAGGGUCCCUGGGCUGGAGACCAGAGAAAGGGAGGAG